rnacentral:rRNA from 1 species
UACGUAGGGUGCAAGCGUUGUCCGGAAUUAUUGGGCGUAAAGAGCUCGUAGGCGGUUUGUCGCGUCUGCUGUGAAAACGCGAGGCUCAACCUCGCGCCUGCAGUGGGUACGGGCAGACUAGAGUGCUGUAGGGGGAGACUGGAAUUCCUGGUGUAGCGGUGAAAUGCGCAGAUAUCAGGAGGAACACCGAUGGCGAAGGCAGGUCACUGGGCCGCAACUGACGCUGAGGAGCGAAAGCAUGGGGAGCGAACAGG